UACCAGCACCCCGAGUGGUCGGGACGUUUAUUGGGCCUAAAGCAUCCGUAGCCGGUUCUACGAGUCUUCCGUUAAAUCCAACUGCUUAACAGGUGGGCUGCGGAAGAUACUAUAGAGCUAGGAGGCGGGAGAGGCAAGCGGUACUCGAUGGGUAGGGGUAAAAUCCGUUGAUCCAUUGAAGACCACCGGUGGCGAAGGCGGGAUCCUGGGCCAGUACUGACGCUGAGGAGCGAAAGCGUGGGGAGCAACAGG
rnacentral:rRNA from 1 species